GCUUCCUGUCCCUCUCGUCGCGCCGCCUCACGCUCCCUAUCCCGGACGCGGCUCGCGCGGGACCCGCUCCCCGGCCCCGGCGACCCCUACCUCCCCCGGUGCCAUGCAGUCCCGGCUUCUGCUCCUCGGGGCGCCGGGCGGCCACGGCGGCCCGGCGGCGCGGCGCGUGCGGCUGCUCCUGCGACAGGUGGUGCGGGGCAGGCCCGGCGGCGACUGGAGGUGGUCGGAGGUCAGACUGCUGCGUGCCGGGGCGGGGGCCGACACAGGCGAUACAGUUAAUAUUGGAGAUGUAUCCUACAAGUUGAAAACUCCUAAGAGCCCAGAACUUGUGCCACAGAACUACAUUUCAGACUCUGUGGCUCAAUCUGUAAUUCAGCAUCUAAGAUGGAUAAUGCAGAAGGAUCUUUUGGGACAAGAUGUCUUUCUGAUAGGACCUCCUGGGCCUCUUCGACGCUCUAUUGCUAUGCAGUACCUGGAGCUGACCAAAAGGGAAGUUGAAUACAUUGCCCUGUCAAGGGACACCACUGAAACCGAUCUCAAACAGCGUCGAGAGAUCCGAGGAGGCACAGCUUUUUACAUUGAUCAGUGCGCGGUCCGUGCAGCCACAGAAGGCAGAACCCUCGUUUUGGAAGGCUUGGAAAAGGCGGAGAGGAAUGUUCUGCCCGUUUUGAACAACUUGCUGGAAAACAGGGAAAUGCAGCUUGAGGAUGGACGCUUCCUAAUGUCUUCAGAGCGCUAUGACAAACUUCUCCAAGCUCAUACCAGAACAGAGUUGGAUGCUUGGAAGAUUGUUCGGGUUAGUGAAAACUUCCGAGUCAUUGCAUUGGGCUUGCCAGUGCCUAAGUACUCUGGGAAUCCAUUAGACCCCCCUCUCCGUUCUCGAUUUCAGGCCAGAGAUAUUUAUUAUCUACCCUUUAAGGACCAACUUAAACUGUUAUAUUCCGUUGGAGCCAGUGUUCCUGCUGAGAAAAUUUCUCAGCUCCUGUCCUUUGCCACCACUCUCUGUUCCCAAGAAUCUUCUACUCUUGGACUUCCAGAUUUUCCUUUAGAUAGUUUACCAGCUGCAGUUCAAAUCCUGGAUUCCUUUCCUAUGAUGUCAGUCAAACAUGCAAUCAAGUGGCUUUACCCAUACACUAUUUUACUAGGACACGAAGGGAAGAUGGCUGUGGAAGGUGUUUUAAAACGCUUUGAACUCCAAGAUUCCGAAAGCUCUGUGCUUCCGAAAGAGGUGGUGAGAGUGGAGAGGCUUGCGGAGAGCCCUGCCCCCCAAGCUAAUGUGACUAUCCGGAUAGCAGAAAAAGAGGUGACCAUUCAGGUGCCAGCUGGGACCAGGCCAGUAAAUCAACCUUGUGCAUCAGACCAUUUUAUACAAACUUUAAGCCAUAAACAACUACUGGCUGAGAUGAUGCAGUCUCACAUGGUUAAGGACAUAUGUUUAAUUGGAGGAAAAGGUUGUGGAAAAACAGUCAUUGUUAAGAACUUUGCAGAUAACUUAGGAUACAACAUAGAACCCAUCAUGCUCUAUCAGGAUAUGACUGCACGUGACCUGCUACAGCAGAGAUACACUCUUCCCAACGGAGACACUGCGUGGCGGUCCUCACCCCUUGUGAACGCUGCUCUGGAAGGAAAGCUUGUCCUCUUGGAUGGCAUCCACCGGGUCAAUGUGGGCACACUUGCUGUGUUGCAAAGGUUGAUCCACGACCGGGAGCUAAGCCUCUAUGACGGCUCUAGGAUGCUGAGAGAAGACAGGUAUAUGCGCUUAAAGGAAGAGUUGCAACUGUCUGAUGAGCAGCUACGGCAGAGAUCCAUUUUUCCUGUCCACCCCUCCUUCAGAAUCAUCGCCUUGGCAGAGCCCCCUGUUAUUGGAAGCACAACACAGCAGUGGCUGGGACCAGAAUUCUUAACCAUGUUCUUUUUCCAUUAUAUGAAACCACUUGUCAAAAGUGAAGAAAUUCAAGUGAUUAAGGAAAUGGUCCCAAAUAUACCUCAGGAAGCUUUGGACAGAUUGUUAUCAUUUACCCACAAACUCAGAGAGACACAGGAUCUCACGGCACAGUCACUGGCCGCAUCACUUUCUACCAGACAGCUGUUGCGGAUUUCUCGUCGGCUGUCACAGUACCCUAAUGAAAAUCUUCACAGUGCAGUUAUGAAAACCUGCCUUUCCAGGUUCUUACCAAGCCUUGCAAGGUCAGCAUUAGAAAAAAACUUGGCAGAUGCUGCAAUAGAAAUAAGUACUGAUAAUCAUCAGGAACCAGAACUGGAGGAUUACAAAUGUGAAAUAGCAUCUGGAUCCCUGAGGAUUGGGGCUGUUAGUGCACCGAUCUAUAAUGCCCAUGAGAAAAUGAAAGUGCCUGAUGUUCUGUUCUAUGACAACAUUCAGCACAUGAUAGUGAUGGAAGACAUGCUGAAGGACUUUCUUCUCGGAGAACACCUAUUAUUGGUUGGUAACCAGGGUGUAGGAAAAAACAAGAUUGUUGACAGAUUCCUUCACCUGCUCAACAGACCCCGAGAAUACAUCCAGCUGCACAGGGACACCACAGUACAAACCCUUACUCUUCAGCCUUCUGUUCAAGAUGGACUAAUUGUGUAUGAAGACUCACCUUUGGUUAAAGCAGUAAAGUUGGGUCAUGUUCUGGUGGUAGAUGAGGCAGACAAAGCCCCAACAAAUGUCACCUGUAUUUUAAAAACUCUAGUAGAAAAUGGAGAAAUGAUUCUAGCAGAUGGAAGACGCAUUGUUGCAAAUUCUGCUAAUGUUAAUGGAAGAGAAAAUGUUAUUGUGAUUCAUCCUGAUUUUAGAAUGAUUGUCUUGGCCAACAGACCUGGAUUUCCUUUCUUAGGCAAUGAUUUCUUCGGUACUUUAGGUGAUAUUUUUAGCUGCCAUGCAGUUGAUAAUCCCAAACCCCAUUCAGAGCUCGAAAUGCUCAGGCAAUAUGGACCAAAUGUGUCUGAACCCAUCCUUCAGAAACUUGUGGCUGCCUUUGGAGAGCUGAGGAGUUUAGCUGACCAGGGGAUUAUUAACUAUCCUUAUUCUACCAGAGAAGUUGUCAACAUAGUGAAACAUUUACAGAAAUUUCCCACUGAAGGUCUCUCCACUGUGGUUAGGAAUGUGUUUGACUUCGAUUCCUACAACAACGACAUGAGGGAGAUUUUGAUUAACACUUUGCACAAGUACGGGAUACCUAUCGGAGCAAAACCAACCAGUGUCCAGCUGGCGAAGGAGUUGCCUCUGCCAGAGCAGACGUUCAUGGGCUACUGGACAAUUGGUCAGUCAAGAAAUGGAAUACAAAAACUGUUGUGUCCAGCAGAAACUCAUCAUAUAGACAUAAAGGGUCCAGCCCUUAUAAACAUACAGGAGUAUCCAAUAGAAAGAUAUGAAGAAAGAUCUCAAACCUUUACUGAAGAAUGUGCCUCCUGGAAGUUACCAUUGGAUGAAAUUAACUUAAUCUGUGACAUUGCUACAUCACGUGAAAAUGAGGAAAAUACCCUCUACGUAGUUGCAUGCAAUCCCAUCACCUUAUACUUUAUGAACAUGUCUGGAAAAAGUGGCUACUUGGCGGACUUUUCUGACGUCUUCCCAAGAAUGGCCAGUAGAGUUUGGCACCCAUUUGUGACAGUGGCACCACUGGGAAAUCCCCUCAAGAGUCAAGUGAUUCUCCAUGAGCAGCAGAGUAAUGUCAUCCUAUUGUUAGAUACCACUGGCCAAGCCCUUCGACGUCUCAUCCUCCCUUCAGAAGAGGGUCCAUCUAAGAAACUUUCCUGGUGGAACAAGGAGGAAACGGAAACUUACAAAAUGUGUAAAGAAUUUUCACACAAAAACUGGCUAGUAUUCUACAAAGAAAAUGGGAACACCCUGACUGUGCUGGAUGUUCUAGAAGGGCGAACUCACACCAUCUCACUUCCCAUCAACCUCAAGACAGUUUUUCUUGUAGCAGAGGACAAGUGGCUUCUGGUGGAGGACAAAACAAACCAGAAAUAUCUUUUAAGUAAGCCUGCACACAUUGCAUCUGAGGAUAGUGGGGUUUGCCAGUUGUACGUGUUGAAAGAGGAGCCCCCUAGCACAGGAUUUGGAGUUACACAAGAAGCAGAUCUCAGCAUACCUCAUACAAUUUCAAGUGAUCAACUAUCAUCUGAAAAUCUGAGUUCAGCUGUCGGACAAAAGAUUGCCUCUCCUAACCGAAUUCUCUCAGAUGAGAAUAGUUAUGCUACAGUUGUUAUCGGCUUCCCAGAUCUUAUGUCACCCAGUGAAGUCUAUUCUUGGAGAAGGCCAUCAUCCUUGCAUAAACCAAGUGUCACUGACAGAACAUUCUAUGGAGAAAAGAAGAAAAGUGAAACUCCAAAACAGAGCAAUUGUGUGACUCUUUUAGAUACUAAUCAGAUAGUCAGGAUUCUGCCCCCGGGAGAAGUCCCUCUAAAAGAUGUCUACCCAAAAGAUGUGACCCCUCCGCAAACAGCUGGUUAUAUAGAAAUCACUGACCUUCAAUCAAAGAAACUCCGAUAUAUCCCUGUUCCCAGAUCAGAAUCUCUCUCGCCAUAUACCACAUGGCUAUCUACUAUUUCGGACACAGAUGCUCUGCUAGCUGAGUGGGGCAAAGGUGGUGUUGUUACUGUUGAUAUGGGAGGUUGCAUCAGACUCUGGGAAACUGGACUUGAACAUCUGCAGCGAUCACUCACGGAAUGGAGAAACAUGAUUGGACAAGAAGGUGACCGACAUAUUCAGAUUACAGUCAACAGAGACAGUGGUGAAGACGUGAGCUCCCCCAAACACGGGAAGGAGGACCCAGACAACAUGCCCCAUGUGGGCGGCAAUACGUGGGCUGGCGGAACAGGAGGAAGAGACACCGCAGGUCUGGGCGGCAAAGGCGGUCCAUACCGGCUGGACGCAGGCCAUACCGUGUACCAGGUGUCGGAGGCUGAGAAGGACGCGGUUCCUGAGGAGGUGAAGAGAGCUGCCAGAGAGAUGGGCCAGAAGGCCUUUCAGCAGCGGUUAAAGGAGAUCCGAAUGAGUGAGUAUGAUGCCGCAACGUAUGAAAGGUUCUCAGGUGCUGUUCGACGGCAGGUGCACUCACUCCGAGUCAUCCUGGAUAAUUUACAGGCUAAAGGUAAAGAAAGACAGUGGCUAAGACACCAAGCCACAGGUGAGCUAGAUGAUGCCAAGAUCAUUGAUGGGCUGACUGGAGAAAAAGCCAUCUACAAACGCCGGGGUGAUCUGGAGCCACAACUGGGCAGCCCCCAACAGAAACCCAAGCGCCUGCGCCUGGUGGUCGAUGUAUCUGGCAGCAUGUACCGCUUUAACGGGGUCGACAGCCGGCUGGAGCGCUCGAUGGAGGCCGUGUGUAUGGUCAUGGAAGCCUUCGAGAACUAUGAGGAGAAGUUCAAGUAUGACAUCGUUGGACAUUCUGGAGAUGGCUACAACAUUGGUCUAGUUCCACUUAACAAAAUCCCCAAGGACAAUAAGCAAAGACUAGAAAUUCUGAAGACAAUGCAUGCCCAUGCUCAGUUCUGCAUGAGUGGGGACCACACGUUAGAGGGGACACAACAUGCCAUCAAGGAGAUUGUCAAAGAAGAAGCUGACGAGUACUUUGUCAUCGUCCUAAGUGAUGCAAACCUGUCACGAUAUGGAAUACAUCCUGCCAAGUUUGCCCAAAUCCUGACAAGUAACCCUCAAGUAAAUGCUUUUGCCAUUUUCAUUGGAUCUUUAGGUGAUCAAGCAACCAGGCUUCAGAGAACUCUACCAGCUGGCCGGUCCUUCGUUGCCAUGGAUACCAAGGACAUCCCCCAGAUUUUACAACAGAUCUUCACCUCCACCAUGCUGUCCACUGUUUAGGAUGGGCCCUUCUUCACCUUGCUGACCCCGGGAUGUAAAAUAUGAUAGGAAUAAAGAGUCCCCUGAAGAAAAGACGACAUCUAUAAAGGAACCUGCGCAGUGACUGAAGGAUUCUGGCAUUCCUGGCGCUUCCUGGGCUCGCUCAGGGAUCAGAAUUCAGGAAAGCAGCCAGAGGGAGCUUGUGCGUGGAAAUCUACCACCAGUGAUGGGUUCGCAGGGAAGCGAGCUGACCGGCGUUUUAUAAAAGGAAAGAAAACACGCGUCUGUUCCUCCACCCCAACUCCCUAUCAACUGUCAAAGAAAUAAAGCAACCCGGUUCCCAGUGCUGUCCUGUCCAGUGACCUCACAUGGCUCGUCUCGUUUUUCCAGCCAGACACGCGCUCUGCGCUCUGCGUAUUGAAUCAGCCAGUGAUGCAGUUUCAAUCCAAUAAUACCUUCAAAACUGUAACCGAAUUAGCAACAGUAAUAGUAAUAACAGCAACAACCACUAGCAUUUACUGAGUACUUAAAAUGUCCCAGGUAUGCGACGGGACUUCAGGCAUCGUUCCAUUCCACCCUCACAACGAUGCAUGUAAAACAGGUAUUUCUUAACUCAUUUUACAGAUAAGGCAAGUAAGUCACUUCCCAAAACUGGACAAUUGACUAUUCACUGUUCUCUUAACAUCCUUCUUGACAAAUAAGGAAAUCGAGGCGUAGGAAAGUUCAAGAAAACAGUCCACACUCACAGUCAGGUGGGGGCCCAGCGGGGCUGCGCCGGCCCCUUUCAUGGAUUAUUCUUACGGAAGGAGAGCUCUUGCCUUCUUGGCUCCUUUGUCUCCUUGCAGCCUGACCAGGUUCGGGGAGCCUUCUUCCUCUCCCUGGCACUCUCCCUGCACACACUCGGGCACUCAGAGGAGCGUGUGGGGACCCAGGACAGGAGCCACUGCGGGAGGGACACCUCUCACAGGCCUUCCUGGGCUCAGCGGCAGCUUAAUCCCUGGGGGUGCCCCCUCUGCGGGAGGGUCAAAGACCCCAAAUGCUUCGCCCAGAAUCCAAGAGUUAGUAACAGAAUGGCCUUUUAACAAAUCCUGCCUGUGCCCUAACUACCUGAGUGAGCAGAAGCCAUUUUUUUUAACAUGGGAAGAAUGUUCUCAUAUAAUUCAAUUUCCCUUUCCCCACUGGCCAGACGUCCUUGCAAUUGUUAUUUUAAAACACACACACACACACACACACACACACACACACACACACACACACACACACACACACACACACACAAAAACAUGUAACUCCUGACUUAGUUGUAAAAGGGAAAGAUGAUGGGGAAGGGGAGCGGAGAGAGGGUAGCUGAGAAGGUUAUUUUCACUUCUUGGAAUACCUAAGAAGUUUGUGCCUUUAUUAUUAAAUGUACUUAAUUAUAGGCCACUCCAAGCUGUUCCCAGGCCCCCCCAGGGCCAAGACAUUAUAAUAAAUGCAUUGUUUGCCUCAGGGGGGGGUUCUACUGAAAGGCCUCUAAACCAGCUCUUCCCAGUAGUGAGCCCGUGUAAUGCUGAGAAGGUUCAUUGUGACCCAUGAGCACCGGGAGGAACGAAGCCUAUGAAUGGCCGCCGCCGUCUAUGUGUUGUGUAUCCCUCCCGGGAAUCUUUUGUGUGCCCCAGCAAGAUGACCUCAUCACCCAUGGGGCACCUCCAGCGAGCCCAGCCGCAAGGAGUAGAUCCGAGCAGGAGUACUUGAGCCUGUCACGUUUGGAAUGAAUCAUUUAAUUCUUUCCUGUGAACUGUCAGAGGAGGAGAAAUCCAUCAAUGCCAGUAGGAUUUUCUCUGAACAAACUCGAGGGCUUUGAAAGCCAUUUAGAAGUAGCUCUCCGUGGACAGCAUCGUUCAGUGUUCCUGAACGGCCAGCUCCAGAGGCUUCAACCCUCCCUCCACCUGGCUCCUUCCUGCGCCUGUCAGCUCAGCCAGAACUAAAUUCCUUCACGAACGGAGCAGAGAGAUUUCCUGCGAUGAAAGUACUACAGGUAAUGGAAAGGAAUUCCAGUGUUCGAUCUUGUGGUGGAAGAAUUUAUAAACUCUAAGUAGAAUUACUCAGUAGAAAGGAAGUUCUAGAUGCUGCUGUGAUGUGUGAACUUGGGCUUGUCACUUCUGGGUCUCAGUUGCUUCAUCUAUUUAAAAUUAUUUAAAUUUAAAAAGUUGAACCAAAUUAUCUCUAACACUAUAGUCCCUGUUUCUGUAUCUCAUAGAGCCAAUUGACUCUGUGCCUCACACAUCUUAGAAGAACCACAUCAUCUCAGUGUGUUUUUGCCUCCAGAACCCCACAAACAGCCCCUACUAUGCAGAGGAUUUGGGCACCUAAACCCAUUACCCGAACAAUAUAGUGUUACUGACAGAAUAUGCAAUUCUAAAAGCUACAAAAACAUCAUUAGAUUUGGACAAGCAGGGCUUUCCCCCAUCAGCUGGACAGAUACUUCUGUUAGACAGUCAUUCAUAAGAUUUCUGCCCAUUGUCUCUCACUUUGCAUUUUGCUGCCUUAAAAUAAAACUCCCUAUCUGCUGAUCUGCACAGUGGGAUCAAAAAGAUCAGGAAUUGGAAAACUACUGGGUGCCCGGAGCUGACCUUAGUGCUGCAAGCUGAACAAUGCGCAAUUGUGGGGGGGGGGGGGGCGGGGAGGGAGGUUUUCAUUGUUAAAUCCUGUAAACAAAAAUCUCCUCCAGAGGGGAAAAAAUGCUUGCCAAGCAGUCCUCCCCAGCUGAAAAUGAUCUGACACUCUUUUUUGACUCUGAACGCCGACUGGGGCUUGCACCUUCCAACAGAGACCCUGUCUGUGCCCGCGGCUUUGGAAUGCCGAAGUCACAUAAUCUCAAAAUCGAGUGGCGCUUGUGGUAUUUGGCCACUCGGAGCAAAGGAUAACACUCUUCUAAGGUGGUUUGGACCCAGAGCGUGGUGAGAACGUCAUGUUCAGCUCAAAGAAAUCUCAUCAGGGGACACGUGAGCUCUAAGGAACAACAGCCCCCACGCACGGUCUUCUCCCCCAGGCAGGCGCCAGACUCACCUUGGGGCUCCUCUCUUCUCGAGACUUUGUGAAAGUGCUUUCUCUUUCCCUGAAAAAGCAAUCCGUGUUGGCCAAUCAACUCUGAUUCCAGAGAUGGUGGGUGUGAGCCCAGAGGAGUUUCAGAGUAUCAGGAUUUCUUAAAAUUCCGUGCAACUCUGAAGACUUUCCGUGCAACUCUGAAGCCUUAGAAACAGUAGCGAGAGUUUGACCUGGAAAGGGAAGGGGGAAUUGUCAGUCGGAACAUCCCGCAGCAGGUUUGUCUCUUUAUGCUGGCCAGACUGGGGCAAGCAAAUAAUGAGCCUGUCAAGAGCUCCGGGUAAUUGGUCUCAUGAUACCAUACAUGAAGCCUUAUUAGUUGAAAUGAAGAAAAAUAAGUAUGUUUACUCAGACAGGACAUUAAGGUUGGGUUUUAAAGUGCAAUAUAU